GUUGUAUGGUUAAGUGACUAAGCGUACACGGUGGAUGCCUUGGCAGUCAGAGGCGAUGAAGGACGUAGUAACUUGCGAUAAGCGUAGAUGAGGCAGUAACAGCCACUUGAGUCUACGAUUUCCGAAUGGGGAAACCCACUGGCAUAAGCCAGUAUCAUUGAGUGAAUACAUAGCUCAAUGAAGCGAACCGGGAGAACUGAAACAUCUAAGUACCCCGAGGAAAAGAAAUCAACCGAGAUUCCGAAAGUAGCGGCGAGCGAAAU
rnacentral:rRNA from 1 species